CAGCAGCCGCGGUAAUACGGAGGGUGCAAGCGUUGUUCGGAAUUACUGGGCGUAAAGCGCGUGUAGGCGGGCAGAUAGGUCAGAUGUGAAAGCCCUUGUCUCAAAUAAGGAAGUGCAUCUGAAACCAUCUGUCUUGAGUACGAUAGGGGAGGACGGAAUUCCCAGUGUAGAGGUGAAAUUCAUAGAUAUUGGGAGGAACACCAGUAGCGAAGGCGGUCCUCUGGGUCGAUACUGACGCUGAGACGCGAAAGCGUGGGGAGCGAACAGGAUUAGAUACCCUGGUAGUCCACGCAGUAAACGAUGGGCACUAGAUGUUGGAGGUACUUACCCUUCAGUGCCGCAGUCAACGCAUUAAGUGCCCCGCCUGGGGAUUACGGUCGCAAGGCUAAAACUCAAAGGAAUUGACGGGGACCCGCACAAGCGGUGGAGUAUGUGGUUUAAUUCGACGCAACGCGAAGAACCUUACCUGGGCUUGACAUGCUGGGAUUAUCCCAGAGAUUGGGAGGAUGCUUCGGGUGUACCGUCACAGGUGCUGCAUGGCUGUCGUCAGCUCGUGUCGUGAGAUGUUGGGUUAAGUCCCGCAACGAGCGCAACCCUUACUAUUAGUUGCCAUCAUUCAGUUGGGCACUCUAAUGGGACUGCC
rnacentral:rRNA from 1 species